CGGAUUCGUUAACCACUGCGCCACGACGGGAACUCCCAACUACCUAGUUUCUGUUGCAAACCCCCCUAGAUAUAUACUGGCUCCUCUUUAGAGCAGUCGUUUGGAGCUCUCUGAGAUUCUGUGUUCCUGAAUUUUUCACACCAAAUAAAACAUAAUUCUCAACUUUUAGUCUGUACUUUUUUUUUUUUUUCAGGUGCAACAGUGAAUGUCUGAGCCCUCUGACCUGCCUUUGGAAGAAUCCUGUUAGGUCAGGUCAGACAGAAUACCUGCUCACCCUUGAUGCUUCCUCUUAGUAACUUUCCAUCUAUCAGCCAUCGGGGAAUCUCGCCACUCUCACCCUCACAACCUGCUCCAUGAAUAUAAAUUCCUAAUUUUUCCUGUUGAGGAAGGAACUUUGAGUUGAACCCAAUCUUCUCUCCUCCUGCAAAACCCCCUUAGCAACCAUAAUGAUUUCCAUGAAUAAAGUCAGCCUUAACAUUUUAACAAAUGUCAUAAGAGUAUUUUAACAUAGCCAAAAUUAGAACACUGGUGACCCUCCAGAUGCCUCACUGUAAGCAAGAUAUAUACCAGGCCUAACUUAUCACCAGGCAUACUCAGAACUGGGUGUGAAACUGCAGAGGCUGAGCUAACAGUAUGGACCGACACCUGCAGUAAGAUGGGACGAGGGAGGGAAGAGUCGUGAUUAGUACUGUGACAUUUAUCAGGAGGUAUUUCCUGUCUUUUUCCAAUUCUAAAAAUGUUUUGAGAGUAAUUAUGUCUGAACUAAUUCAAUGCUUAAACAAAAUUCUAAUUGAUCAAAAUAAUAAAAUUAAAAUCUUAACCUUGUCUUUGGUUCCUCACCAACAGUGACACAUGUUUUCACAAGAGUUAAAAUGUUUCUGAUAUAGAAUGCUUCUCAUUUUAUGGAGUUCUCAUUUUAUGGUGUUUAGUAUACAUUUAGAGCCAUAUGUCUCUUCUGAUUUAAAAGUCAGAUGGAAUGAGAUGAAUUAAAAAAGGUUUUGGCAUUUAGAUGGUUAUCUGCAUAAUAAAUUACUGUGUUAAUUAUACUUUCCUGAAUCACACAGAGGGAUUUGCCCAGGAGAGUCAAUAUUAAUUUUGGAGACUGGACACAUUAUCACUGAGUAUUAGAAUCUCACAUGAGUGUAUCUUUGAGUAUUACUUGUGGAUAUGCAGAUGCAAAUCAUGAAAAAAUACUUCAAAUGAAAAUAUGACUUCAAAAUGUCAUAUCAAAGAAUAAAAAGGCUGAUAGAAGAGAAUAAAGAUCUCAGAGACAAAUCCAAGAAACUUGGAAAAUCUGUCUUAUAAAUGUGUUAUAUUCAUAAAGCAAAAUUAUUUAACUCAUACAUUUCAAUCAAGAAGGCUAUCAAGUUUCAAUACUGUGUCAGGUCGGCUCCCCCUACCUUGCUGCUGGCACAAAAAUAAAUUCCCCUAUUAUAUAAAUAAUAUCAUUUAUAUUCAAGAUGUUUGUUGCUCUUAAUUCUAUUUAUUUGCUUGUCCUUAAGAGGUUCACCCUACUUUGUAAACUCCCAGUAACAAUACAUUUUAUUUUAUGAAAAAUUUAACUGUACCUUAAUGGGAAGAGUUUUGAUGCUAUCAAAUCCCCCAUCUUGGCAGAAACAGAAACCCUAAUUUAGGCUCUUUACAUAUCCCAUUCUCUUAUAGAGGAGGAACCAGGAGCGAUCUAGGGAUGAGGCUUACUGGUUUAAGGUCAAUGAUUGGUUUUUCAAUAAGAUACGGUUGGCUUUUUAACAUGGAAUUCUAAAUAAUAAUAGUGAAUAUAAAGAGGGGAGCAAAGUGAGAAUAAAAUAGCAUGUUUAUCAUGAUCAUACAUAAUACCAUGUAACUUAAAUGUUCUCAAAAUACUUUAUUCUUAUCAUAAUUGAAAGAAACACAACUUGUUAAUAAUCAGUAGGGCUUAAAAUGCUAUUUUUUCCCAAAGCCAUGACAAGAGGUAUGUAUUUCAAGAAUUUCACUUAGAUCCUUUUGUUUUGUUAAGUAACAGACUAGAAAUACUCAUGAUUUGUCAUUUAUGUAGUACUAUAUACUGUUAAAUUAGACAUUAUAAUACAUUGGGGUUUUAUUUUCAUUGAUAAAAGGAACAAUCUACCUGUAUAUAACAUUUAAAUCAUUUUCCUCUGUUUCUGACACACCUGCUAGUUUUCUUAAUGCUUCAAUAACAGGUUGAAUUUGGCCAUGUUAUUACCUCUUUUAUAGAGAAUUAAUAAUCAUUUUCCCAGAGGAAACAUAGAACCAUUUUCAUAUUUUCUUACUUAUUUUCACAUUUACUUAUUUAAUUUAGCUAUGCAUUUCGAUGUUUAAAUCACUUGUUUUUAAAACAUAAGGACAUUUCUUGAAUGCAGAUAAACAUCGAGAUCUUCAAGCAUUGUACCCAAAUGUUCUUUUUCAAAUCAGAAUGUAGGCUUCCUCCUAAAAUACAGUUUCAUAAAUUCUUCUUAGUAUGUCCUCCAAACUGGUUUUAAAAGGUUUGAGUUUCCUAUAGUUCACUUUUCUACUCAUUGACUUCCUAAGACCUCUUAUCCUCCUAUCUCAUAAGUCAAAGAUUAAUCUGGCACAUUUCCUUAGUAAUUUCAGUAACACUGUGUAUACAGUAUUUAAAACAUUAACAUAUAUGUACCAUCUGUUCCCAAUUUAAAUAUCACACACUGAGAUUUCUAAGUUUAUACAUCUUAAGAUAUUAUUUUAAAUUUUUUCUAGAAUUUUCUUCAUGUUCUUAUAGUUACCUAAAUAUACAAUUUUAUUCUUCAGAUCUAAGCUGCAAUCUAAGUGAAAUUAUAUUACAAGCAUGGGACAAUGUGAAUUGCAGGGUUGCAGUGCAAAGAGCAGAGAUGGAGUCAGGCAGAAUUCGGAGCUGAAUCUAGACUCUCUCAUUUAGUUAGAUAUCAGUCUGUAUAAAUACUUUGAAUACUGGGAAAAGGUAUGUCCUCCACUGUGCAAUAUUUACAAAGGAGAAAAUAAAUACCCAACUGGCAAAGUUGCUGUGAAAUGAAUACUAAUGAAAUAUUUAACAGUAUUUUAUUACUAGCAAACUAAAUGCUUUAUAUAUUUUAACUUUCCUCAUAACACGUCAAUGAGAUGGAAAGCAAGUAUUUCCAUUUUAUAGAUGACAAAACUAAAGCACAGAGAGGUAACCACCUGAUGUGAUACAAUGAGUGAUAAAGGGAUUCCAAAUCAGACAGCCUGGCUCUGGGUCCCCACUGUUUCAUUGUCGGCAAGCUUGAAAUGGUAAUGUAUUCCAGUGCAUGUCUGAUUGAUACUUUGCACAAUUUUCAUUGUUCUGUAGCUAAUAGUGUAUUAUUUUUCACGAAUAAAAUUAUAUUAAAUUCAACCUUAUGAAAAUGUAUAUUAUUUAAUAAUAGGAAUUUUGCAAUUACAGUCUAGAAAAAGACUUUAACUGUAUUACCAUUUUGGGUAACUUUUCUGCCAUCAUAUAAUUGUUCUCAUGCUUCAAAGUUAAUGGUAAAAAUGGGUUUUGUUUUAAGAUUCUAAGUUUAAAUGAAAAAAAUUUAAAUGGAAAUCUAUUCCAUAAAAGCAAAAAUAUAAAAAUGAAAAGAAAGAAGUUUAGGAAAUGCAGGCCCAAGGAUCAUUUUCAGAAGAAAUUCUGGAACGGCAGCCUCACUUUCCCUUGUUUCCAUUUCCGCUAAAUAUUUUUAUGGCUUUCAACUUUCCAGGGAAACUAUACCAAAUGAAAAAAUAAUUUUAUGUAACAACAACAAUGAAAUUGUAAGAACUUCACUGUUCUUACAUAUGUGUUUAUCUGUAUCUGUAUGCUUACAUUAUUAAACAUAUUUGCCUUGAAACCAUAUCCAUCCCCUGAACUUUGUUGAUUUAAAAGAAUUCAGCAACUGCUAUAUACCGGAAGUCUAUCAGUUUGCACAUUAAUCAUUUAAGAUACAUAUGAAAAAGGUAAAUUUUAAUUCUUUACCUCAAGAGAAAUCUGAUUCAUAAUUAUACCACUCUUCUGUGAUUUAAUUAUAUGCAAACAUAUGAUCAAACUAUUACCCAAAUUUUUAAUAUCCCAGAUCUCAAAACGUAUUUUUUCAAUAACACUGAUGAGUCUAUAAACAUAAAGAAUGUCUCAGUUCCUGCUGUCCUCUUAACCAUAAUUACGCCUUCUGUUUGACUUAGCCAACACUCUGGUCAUACAUGAAGUCUUCUUUUUACCUAUAACUUCCCCUUCCCUGUAAUUCUGAUUUCUAUAUCGCUUCUUUUGACCAAUAUCCUCUGUCCUUCCAGAUCAUCCCUCCUCCUCUUGCUUCAAAAAUUACUCAAGGACACGGGGCCACCAGUCUACGGACUCAACCAUCUCUAACCAUUUUUCCCUCUUCCUCCACUUGAAUUCUUCCUCCCUUAUUUGCUCCCAUGGUCCAUCUAUAAUCGAGAGCUACUCUCCCUAUUUAGUUAGACAGUUACUAAAUUGCUGUCUCCAGUGUAUUCUUUCCCCCUGAAAUUUACCUUAAACUUACCCCUGUAUUCACAAAAACAAUCUUUUACAGAUCACUUACGGUCAUAAAAUUGUUAAAUUCAAUGGUCAAUCAUCAGGUUGUAUCUUACUGGACUUAUCAGAAUCAUUUAUCAAAACUGAUCACUCUUGCCAUCUUAAACUGUCUUCAUUAGUUUCCACCUUGUUUGGAUUUUUCCCUCCUCUUACUUCAAUGCCUUUUUUUCCCCAUUAUUUGUUUUGUUUUCUCCUCACCACUCUGAGGUUGGACUUCAGUUCUGACUUCUCUACAUAUACUCUUACCAUGCAUGUUCCUAUACAUUUGCACAGCUUUAAACAUCAUCUUUUUCACAUGGGUCUCAAAUAUAUACCUUUAGUCCAUACUUUCAAUACACAGAAAUGCAAAUAGAUGUCUCCACUCAGAUCUAGGCAAGGCAUCUCACUCAACAUCACUGAUUAUUAGAGAAAUGCAAAUCUAAACUACAGUGAGGCAUCACCAUACACUGGUAAGAAUGGGCAUAUCAUUGAAAAGUCUAUAGACGAUAAAUGAUGGAGAAGGUAUGGAGAAAAAGGAACCCUCCUAUGCUGUUGUUGGGAAUGGAAAUUGGUACAGCCACUAUGGAAAACAGUAUAGAGGUUCCUUAGAAAACUAAAAAUAGAACUACUAUAGGAUCCAGCAAACCUACUCCUGGGCAUAUAUCUAGAGAAAACUAUAAUUCAGAAAGAUACAUGUACACUUUGCAGUACUAUUUACAAUAGACAAGACAUGAAAGAAACCUAAGCAUCCCCUGACAGAUGAAUAAAGAAGAGGGGAGACGUACACACAAUGUAAUAUUCCUCAGCCAUAAGAUAGAAUGAAAUAAAGUCAUUCAUGUGACAUAGAUAGACCUAGAGAUAAUGGUACUAAGUGAAGUAAGUCAGGCAGAAGAAGACAACUAUUAUAUGAUAUAAUUAUAUGUGGAGUCUAAAAAAUUACACAAAUUUAUUUACAAAAAAAAAAAUAGAACCACAGAUGUAGAAAACAAACUUAUGGAUUACUAAAGGGGAAAAAGUGCAGAGGGAUAAAUUAGGAGUUUGGGAUUAACAGAUAAACACUACUAUAUAUAAACUAGAUAACCAAUAAGGACCUACCAUGUAGCACAGGAAACUAUACUGAAUAUUUUACAAUAAUCUAUAAUGAAAAAGAAUUUAAGAAAAUAUAUAUACACAUACAGAUACAUACAUGUGUAUAUAUACGUAUUAGUAUAUAUAACUGAAUUGCUUUAUUGUAUACUUUAAUGCAUUAUAAACCAAGUACAUUUCAAUAAAAAUUUAAAUAAAUAAACAAUAAAUAAAAGUAGUUCAAACAUGAAGCAUCCAAAAGUUUACAAUUUUCAUCCAAAACGUGGUCUUCCUUUAGUCUUUCCCUUCUCAGAAAUGACUUUAUUCUUCAAAAUUUAAAAGUCCUCUUUAAUAGUAUUGUAACCUGUCUCUUUAAGCUUGUGUGUAUGGGAGUUCCUGUCAUGGCACAGUGGAAAUGAAUCUGACUAGUAUUCAUGAGAAUGCAGGUUGGAUCCCUGGCCUUGCCUAGUGGGUCAGGGAUCCAGCAUUGCCGUGAGCUGUGGUGUGGGUCGCAAACAUGGCUGGGAUCUAGCAUUGCUGUGGCUGUGGUGUAGACUGGCAGCUGCAGCUCCGAUUGGACCCCUAGCCUGGGAACUUCCAUAGGCCUCAGGUGUGGCCCUAAAAAGGGGAAAACAAAAACAAAAACAAAAAUGCUUCUGUGCAUGUGUUUGUGUGUGUAUGUGUGAUACCUUCCACCGCCCACUACCUCCAGCAUUAGCGUUCUAGACAAAUUAACCAGUAACUCUCCUUGGAUUACUACCAUAGACUUACAAUCAAUGUCCUUUUCCUUCUACUCUGUUUUUUGUUUGUUUGUUUGUUUGUUGCCAACCUGGGGCAUCCCAAAGUGCCUGGGAUCAGCUCUUUUCUCCUCUUGAUUUGUAUUCUCUAUGUUCAACAAAUCAACCAGAGUUACUCUACCAAUAGAUAUCAGAUGGUAUUAAUUCUCAGUUCAGAACUACUGCAUUGCUUUCCAUGUCUUUGAGGGCAAAAGGCAUUCCUAGCUUGGUCCUAUUUCUGCCCCCACUGCCUCCCUGACAUCUUUUACAUCAUACC
ensembl:lncRNA